CCCAAAUAGCUAUAAGGCAACAGAUUUUUGAACAUUGUUAAAGACUAAUGUUGCUUUAAGAAACAUAGCAGACUGAAUUUUAGAAGCCGACUGCUUCUUUGGGAGAAUAGAAAUGUCUAUAGAACCGUUCAUUUAAAAAACUUAUAUGAAGCGUUAGUACUUCAGGAGAAAGGAUGAACUAAUAAGUCAAUGUUUCACUGCUCUAAAAACUCAGUUGGACACCGGCUUAAAGUUUUACAGAACUCCAUGACGCCAGCCUUUUAAGCUUUAUAAAAGAGAUGCGGGAUUUAAAGGGGAAACUAACUUUUAUAUAUGUUCUUCAGCCAAAUUCUUUUAAAUAAGUUAAGUGCAUCCUCCUUUGUCACACAGCAUUAAUUACUUUUGAGACCGUUAUAUUUGUUGGACUUAUUUUAAGAGACUCGAUUUAACAGUAUGCGAGUGGUAUAUUGUAAAUAAAUGUGAUCUUCAAA